rnacentral:rRNA from 1 species
GACAGAGGAUGCAAGUGUUAUCCGGAAUCACUGGGCGUAAAGCGUCUGUAGGUGGUUUAAUAAGUCAACUGUUAAAUCUUGAGGCUCAACCUCAAAAUCGCAGUCGAAACUAUUAGGCUAGAGUAUAGUAGGGGUAAAGGGAAUUUCCAGUGGAGCGGUGAAAUGCGUAGAGAUUGGAAAGAACACCGAUGGCGAAGGCACUUUACUGGGCUAUUACUAACACUCAGAGACGAAAGCUAGGGUAGCAAGUGGG